AUUUUUUUUUCUGCCUACUUUUCAUCACCAAAUUAUUAGUUUCAAUGCCUCAUUGAAAUGGUCGCAACACAACAAAGUUAAAUGGCCCCUUUUUUAUGUUCAGUGCUAUUUAUAUGUAGAUUCACUCAAGUGAGGCUUAUGUAGCAUAGGGAGUUAGCAAUUGCAAAUUGAGUUUAUGGAAACAGCUUUCUGCCAAUAAAGAUGGGCCAGGCAACGAGUAGCAGCAAGAUGUGGAGAAGUUUGUUGGACAGCCCUUGAUCUACAACAGACACAUACAUGUCUAUGUAGGAAAAACAUCUAACAUCUGUUUUCUUCUCUUUCCUCUAAUUAAAGUAAUAAUCCAUAUGUUAACAGCUUUGAGUAAGAUGUCCUUAAAACAAAAAGCAAACCUUAAAAGCUAAUUGCCCAUAGAGAACCUAUGAUUCCCCCCUCUAAAGUCUAAGGUUAAAUAUUAACUAACCUAUGCCAACAACAAGACCUUUUCUGUCAAAAUCUGAACAUUUACAUAAAGCACAUACUUCACAUAGUUAGGCCAACAUGCAUUGAAAGACAUUUUAACACAAUUUCACAAAUUAACCUUACCCAUUUUUUAGAUGCAAUCCUACAAAUGUCGUUGUUGUUGUGGGUGGGUAAAUAUUAUUUGGUAAAAAAGAUAAAAUGUCCCUGCUACUGGAGCAACUAGUUGGAGUUGAACAACGGACGGACUUCGCCCUGUUUUUGUUUGCCGAGGAGGCCGGUUGACUGCUAUUUUCGUACGAUGAUGCCGUCAAUAAACUAAAAUAAGAAAACAUAAAA